rnacentral:rRNA from 1 species
UACGGAGGGUGCAAGCGUUAUUCGGAUUUACUGGGCGUAAAGGGCGCGUAGGCGGCUUGAUAAGUCAGUUGUGAAAGCCCGGGGCUCAACCCCGGAAGUGCAAUUGAAACUAUCAGGCUUGAGUAUGGUAGAGGGAAGUGGAAUUCCAGGUGUAGCGGUGAAAUGCGUAGAUAUCUGGAGGAACACCGGUGGCGAAGGCGACUUCCUGGACCAAUACUGACGCUGAUGCGCGAAGGUGUGGGUAGCAAACAGG